GAGGUGUCUUUGUUCACUUUUUGAUUCUGUGCUUAUUCUCUGUCCCUACCAUUAGCAAUUUGGGCCCGCCCUUAGACAUAUAUGGCUGGCAGUAUGCGGUGGUUGUGCGGUAGGGGCCUGGUUUACCGCUAGCCUAUGUCGCCCCCACUUGCAAUACUUGUUUUUUAUGCAAACAAAAUACUAUCAUUGGUUGAAUUGUAGAAGAUAAAUUGAUCAUUGGUUGUGUAUGAAAUUUCAUUAGAUUUUGAUGUUUGAUUCACUCCAUGGAAAAACCUGUUUGCAUUAUGCUGCUUUCUAUGGCCAUCUAGAUUGCCUACAAGCUAUUCUUUCUGCUACCCUUUCCACCUCUGUUGCACAUUCCUGGUGACCCUCUCUCUCUCUCUCUCUCUGCACACACACACUCAUAUAUGCUUGUGUGUAGAGAAUAUCCAUGAAGUUGCUAAAGCUGUGGUUGUUUUGUUUGGUUUGAUUUGGAGUUGAUGGCAGGGAAUUUGCAAGGUUUGUGAAUAUAAGAGAUAAAAAUGGAGCAACCCAAUUGCACUUGGCAGCCCGACAAGGAUGGCCGGGGUGCGUUCAUAUGUUGUUAGACAGUGGGGCUCUUGUUUGUGCAUCUUCCAGAGGAUAUGGGUAAAACUCUCUUAUUGAAGGUUUUCUAGUUUCGUGGGGGUUCAUUGGAUUGUGUUCGGGAAUUACUUGCUUGGGGGGCUGAUAGACUUCAUAGAGAUUCAUCUGGACCAGAUCCACUGACAUACGGAGUAGGUGAUUUCAAGGUCUUUGAUGCUGAAAUUAGUUUUGAGUACUCAAUAUGGAAUUAAUGUUAUAGCAGUGUCUGAACCCCCUUGUUAUUCCCUUUCUAUGGAGUUGAAUGUGCUACAAUCUACGUAUUUCUAGUGUGGUUAAACAAUAUUAGCCUUCAUGCUCAAUCAUAACGAAAAUCGAGAGUAAUUGGUUCCUAUUGAGAUUGUUGACGAUGACAUGAUG